rnacentral:rRNA from 1 species
GAUGAACGCUGGCGGCGUGCCUAAUACAUGCAAGUCGAGCGAAUGGAUUAAGAGCUUGCUCUUAUGAAGUUAGCGGCGGACGGGUGAGUAACACGUGGGUAACCCGCCCAUGAGACUGGGAUAACUCCGGGAAACCGGGGCUAAUACCGGAUAACAUUUUGAACCGCAUGGUUCGAAAUCGAAAGGCGGCUUCGGCUGUCACUUAUGGAUGGACCCGCGUCGCAUUAGCUAGUUGGUGAGGUAACGGCCCACCAAGGCAACGAUGCGUAGCCGACCUGAGAGGGUGAUCGGCCAGACUGGGACUGAGACACGGCCCAGACUCCUACGGGAGGCAGCAGUAGGGAAUCUUCCGCAAUGGACGAAAGUCUGACGGAGCAACGCCGCGUGAGUGAUAAAGGCUUUCGGGUCGUAAAACUCUGUUGUUAGGGAAGAACAAGUGCUAGUUGAAUAAGCUGACACCUUGACGGUACCUAACCAGAAAGCCACGGCUAACUACGUGCCAGCGCCGCGGUAA